GUUUCGGUAGUGCAGAGGUAAAACACGCACCCUCGGAAAGGGUGAAACGCGGGUUCAACUCCCAUCCCAAAGGCA